rnacentral:rRNA from 1 species
UACGUAGGGUGCGAGCGUUAAUCGGAAUUACUGGGCGUAAAGCGUGCGCAGGCGGUGAUGUAAGACAGGUGUGAAAUCCCCGGGCUUAACCUGGGAACUGCAUUUGUGACUGCAUCGCUGGAGUGCGGCAGAGGGGAUGGAAUUCCGCGUGUAGCAGUGAAAUGCGUAGAUAUGCGGAGGAACACCGAUGGCGAAGGCAAUCCCCUGGGCCUGCACUGACGCUCAUGCACGAAGCGUGGGAGCAAACAGG